rnacentral:rRNA from 1 species
GACGAACGCUGGCGGCGUGCUUAACACAUGCAAGUCGAGCGAGGCCCCUCCUUCGGGAGGGUGUCCUAGCGGCGAACGGGUGAGUAACACGUGGGCAACCUGCCCUCAGCUCUGGGAUAACUCCGGGAAACCGGGGCUAAUACCGGAUACGACCUCCACGGGCAUCUGCGGAGGUGGAAAGUUUUUCGGCUGAGGAUGGGCCCGCGGCCUAUCAGCUAGUUGGUGGGGUAGUGGCCCACCAAGGCGACGACGGGUAGCCGGCCUGAGAGGGCGACCGGCCACACUGGGACUGAGACACGGCCCAGACUCCUACGGGAGGCAGCAGUGGGGAAUAUUGCGCAAUGGGGGAAAGCCUGACGCAGCGACGCCGCGUGAGGGACGAAGGCCUUCGGGUUGUAAACCUCUUUCAGCAGGGACGAAGCGAAAGUGACGGUACCUGCAGAAGAAGCACCGGCCAACUACGUG